rnacentral:rRNA from 1 species
UAACAGUUGGAAACGACUGCUAAUACCGCAUAAGCGCACAGGAUCGCAUGAUCCGGUGUGAAAAACUCCGGUGGUAUGAGAUGGACCCGCGUCUGAUUAGCCAGUUGGCAGGGUAACGGCCUACCAAAGCGACGAUCAGUAGCCGACCUGAGAGGGUGACCGGCCACAUUGGGACUGAGACACGGCCCAAACUCCUACGGGAGGCAGCAGUGGGGAAUAUUGCACAAUGGGGGAAACCCUGAUGCAGCGACGCCGCGUGAGCGAAGAAGUAUUUCGGUAUGUAAAGCUCUAUCAGCAGGGAAGAAGAAUGACGGUACCUGACUAAGAAGCACCGGCUAAAUACGUGCCAGCAGCCGCGGUAAUACGUAUGGUGCAAGCGUUAUCCGGAUUUACUGGGUGUAAAGGGAGCGCAGGCGGUGCGGCAAGUCUGAUGUGAAAGCCCGGGGCUCAACCCCGGUACUGCAUUGGAAACUGUCGUACUAGAGUGUCGGAGGGGUAAGUGGAAUUCCUAGUGUAGCGGUGAAAUGCGUAGAUAUUAGGAGGAACACCAGUGGCGAAGGCGGCUUACUGGACGAUAACUGACGCUGAGGCUCGAAAGCGUGGGGAGCAAACAGGAUUAGAUACCCUGGUAGUCCACGCCGU